rnacentral:sRNA from 1 species
GCCAAGUGCAGUGGCAUGUGCCUGUAGUCCCCACUACUCAGAAGACUGAGAUAGGAGGAUGGCUUGAGCUCUGGAGCUCAAGACUGACCUGGGCAACAUAGCAAUAUCCUAUUUCAA